CUCAUGUCUAUUCAUGAAAUAAUUAUUAUACUUCUCACUCCAUAUGUGCAGGCACUCAACACAAGAAAUUUUACCAAAAAUGAUUGAGAUAGAUACAAGUAUGGAUGGAGCACUACAAAAAAUUUACAUUAAAAGAACUUACUAGAAUGAGGUGCGGAAGGUAGACAAAUCAGGAUUUUGUGGUCACAUCAAUAGCUGCAAUAGAGAUGUUAUGAGAAAUAUCAAGUGAUGGUAUAUGUCGUCUGAUGAUAAGGAAACUGACAAGUACAAUGGUACAUAUCCAGAAAUUGUAACACCUCCGUGUUCAUAUUAUACUAAUUUGAACAUGAUCGUUCCUAUUAUCCUA